GCCAGCAUGGCAUAAUGGUUUGAGUGUUAGACUGAGACUCUGGAGACCAGGGUUUGAUUCCCUGCUUGGACA